rnacentral:rRNA from 1 species
GAUUAACGCUGGCGGCGUGCCUAACACAUGCAAGUCGAGCGGCAGCGCGUUUUACACUGAAUUCUGGAAGCUUCUAGUUGAAAGAGAAGAUUUAUUCAAGAAUUUUGUGUAAAAUGUCGGCGAGCGGCGGACGGCUGAGUAACGCGUGGGAACGUACCCCAAAGUGAGGGAUAACGCAUCGAAAGGUGUGCUAAUACCGCAUAUGGUCUUCGGAUUAAAGCCUUCGGGCGCUUUGGGAACGGCCUGCGUAAGAUUAGAUAGUUGGUGGGGUAAUGGCCUACCAAGGCGACGAUCUUUAACUGGUUUGAGAGGAUGAUCAGUCAGACUGGAACUGAGACACGGUCCAGACUCCUACGGGAGGCAGCAGUGAGGAAUCUUACACAAUGGGCGAAAGCCUGAUGGAGCAACGCCGCGUGCAGGAUGAAGGCCUUCGGGUUGUAAACUGCUUUUAUAAGUGAGGAUUAUGACAGUAACUUAUGAAUAAGGAUCGGCUAACUACGUG